rnacentral:rRNA from 1 species
GAUGAACGCUGGCGGCGUGCCUAACACAUGCAAGUCGAACGAAAAGACCCUGAGCUUGUUCCUUGCUCGUUGGCGGCAGGCGGGAGUGUCACGCGUAUAUCACCUCCUUAUCUUUCGGGGAACAUCACGUAACACCGGCUAUUAUACUAGAGAAUAUCUCGCACCGUAGUGUUCGAUGGAGAAUGACGGCUUUUCUGUCUGUACUAGCUGGUCCUGCGCUGGAUUAGCUGGUUGGUAGGGUAACGGCCUACCAAGGCUACGAUGCGUAGCCGAACUGAGGGGGUGAUCGGCCACACUGGAACUGAGACACGGUCCAGACUCCUACGGGAGGCAGCAGUAGGGAAUCUUCGGCAAUGGGCGGAAGCCUGACGCAGCCACGCCGCGUGAGUGAUGAAGGCCUUCGGAUCGUAAAGCCCUGUUAUUGGGGAAGAACAGCCGUGGAAGUAAACGUAGACGUAGUGACGGUACCUAAUCAAAAAGCAACGGCUAACUACGUG